GUUGUUGUGGACGAGUGGUAAAGGGGAUAGACCCGAAAUCAUUUGGUAUCUUCCCGCGCAGGUUCGAAUUCUGCCGACAACG
rnacentral:tRNA from 1 species